UUCCGGCUCUUGAAAAUUGACGAAUUGCAAAACAGCAACUUUUCCCCGGAAGUAAAAUUUCAAAAGCCUGGCUGCAAAGCUCUAAACUGUUUUUACCGCGUCGCUCUCGAAGAUAUCGUUGUCGGAGAGAAAUUUCUCUAUUUUUUUUCUAUCUUUUCUUGGGGUUUUUUGGCAGUGAUAAUGACGUCGAGCGAGUCCUCGAUCUCAGCCACGGCGACUUACGUGGAGAACUAUUUGGACUGUGAGUAGGAAAUGUUUUAUUAGGAAACCUAUGAACUUAUCUAUCAAGUGGAUAAAUAAUCAUAUUUGUCCGCACAGGAAACACCGCACUUUUCAAAUAGAUCGUACCGGUUACUAGUAUAGCUGCGUUUGUUGAAACGUUUUAACUUCCGUGAAACAUGUACAGGCUUAAACCAGCUUGAACAUCUCCCCAGUCAUUGAUCUAAAUAAACUUAAAUCGUUAUAAGCUUCAACUCGAUGUAAUUUUAUUCGCAUCCGGUUUAUAUGCCUUGAAAUCCUUAUCGAGUAGCUCUUAAAUUGUCAGCUCCACCUCCGACGUUUUGAAAAUCUGAAAUUGCAUGUGCGUUGAGUGUUUUCACUCCUCAAGCUAAAUUUGCAAGCUACAGUACUUUGCUGUCAAAAACUUAGGUCGAACGCCUCUGCGGAUGUUUAUCCGUAUUCAAGUGUCUUAUUAGAAUCUACACGAGGAGAACUGAAGCAAACUGAGAGAUACUGUGCACACAGUGUAGCUAUUUAUGGUCACGAUCACGCACGAAGUGUUUUGUUACAAAACGUGACGUAAAUAGACAACGGGUAUGCCAAGUGUUGUGCAGCGUGCCGUGUAAUGAACGUGACUUCGCGUUCCACGCCCUUGCUAUCUUAUCACAGUAUCAAGCUUAUGUUUACCAUAAUAUCCUUACGUGUGGCUUCAAAUCCUGAAACUUGAACAAACUGUUCUCUCUCAAGUGUGCCUUAUGGCACAUGAUGUGUCCAAUAUUUUCUCAAUCUGUUUUCUCAGCUAAGCUUUAAUCCGGGAUUUCAAAUCCUGUUUGAAAUUUUGGCACUUAAAGGUUCAAGGGAUAAGGUCUGCUUGCUGAGAGCAGACUACACCCCACCCUUAACACAAUGUAUGAUUUUUUUUAAUCACAUUGUAUAUGUACCAAACAACUUUUAGUACUUGUUUUCAGAUAUUUUGUAGUCUAAUACACAUCAUCAAAUGUGGAUUCUUCCUAACUUCAUGUUAAACCUUAGGGGGAGUGCUGUUUUUGGCGUACAAAUCUGUUGAUUGUUUAAAUUGCACCUUAUUGAUCAAGGCGUUAUUUAAUAUGCUCCUUAUUAUAGAUGAACAUCUAUUUUGGGGCCAGAGGACAAACAUAUUUGAUAUUUUGAAGCCUGAAAAAUUUUGUAUUAUUCUCAAAUUUAAAAACCAAAUGGUAUUGUAGUAAAUUACUCUGAAACCCAUUUGCACAUGACAAUCAGGUGAUACUUGUAAAAAUGUCAGAUACAGGUUGGAUUUGAAUAAAUGUUGACCUAUUCGUAA